rnacentral:rRNA from 1 species
GACGAACGCUGGCGGCGUGCUUAACACAUGCAAGUCGAGCGGUAAGGCCCUUUCGGGGGUACACGAGCGGCGAACGGGUGAGUAACACGUGGGUGACCUGCCCUCAGCUCUGGGAUAAGCCUGGGAAACCGGGUCUAAUACUGGAUAUGACUCCAUGACGCAUGUUGUGGGGUGGAAAGCCUUGUGCGGCUGAGGAUGGGCCCGCGGCCUAUCAGCUUGUUGGUGGGGUGAGGCCUACCAAGGCGACGACGGGUAGCCGGCCUGAGAGGGCGACCGGCCACACUGGGACUGAGACACGGCCCAGACUCCUACGGGAGGCAGCAGUGGGGAAUCUUGCGCAAGUGGGACGAAAGCCUGACGCAGCGACGCCGCGUGAGGGAUGACGGCCU